rnacentral:sRNA from 1 species
UUUGAAGAAAUUGAAGUACAUCUUAUCGGUACAGAGAACAUAUUGCAAUUUUUUUCUAAUAUUAUUAUUUUAAUUGAAAAUUGUAAAAAUGGUGGCCGCCUGUUUUUUUUUUUUUUGCCAAAAUAGGGCCGCCCUAUUUUAGAAAAAAAAAAUCCGCGCGACCACCAUUCAUACGAUGUACCAUUAAAAUAAUAAUAAUCCCAAAAGAAAUUCACAGAUUACUCUU